rnacentral:rRNA from 1 species
CACGUAGGGUGCAAGCGUUGUCCGGAAUUAUUGGGCGUAAAGGGCUCGUAGGCGGUCCGUCACGUCGGGAGUGAAAACUCGGGGCUCAACCCCGAGCCUGCUUUCGAUACGGGCGGACUAGAGUGCGGUAGGGGAGACUGGAAUUCCUGGUGUAGCGGUGAAAUGCGCAGAUAUCAGGAGGAACACCGGUGGCGAAGGCGGGUCUCUGGGCCGUAACUGACGCUGAGGAGCGAAAGCAUGGGGAGCGAACAGG